CUGGGGUGCAGAUACCAGCACGGUAUAGCAGUUUAACCUGCUUAAGCUUCCUCAGUUGCAAGAGGGCUGCUGUAACAGGAAGUGCCCCACUGGGUGGAUAUAAUUUAAGAUCCCAUCAUACGUGUGAACACGUCCAGCCUGGCUGAUAGCAAACAACUCUCUUAGCUUCCACUUCUUGUUUGUUAUCUCUUUCUCUUCUCGUUUCCCCUUCCUUGAGCUUCUGCAGGCCCUUGGAUGCAUUAGAAGAUGAUGACUUUCUUUUAUAAUGCAAAGAAAUUGGCAAGCUAUCGCGUAAAUGCUGUUGGGCUCACUCACCAUUCUAUGGAGUCUCUGGGUCGGAGAGGACUUAACCCAUCUACCAGUCUGAUGUGUGAUGGUCAGCCUUCUUUCUCUUUUUCCCACCGGCCUGGCUCUCUCAACAGCCAUCAGGACAUUCUCUGAAACUGAGCAUUCCCUGCUAAGGUAGGACCCUCAGUGUUCUCCUGAGUUCUGUUUCUUCGUGAUUUCCUCCCUGCUCGGCUCUUGGCAGCUCCAGCCUGUACUUUCCCUGUGUGCUUUGGGCUUGGCGGCUGUGUACCUAAGGAAAGUUUAACCACCACUGACUUCCUUCCUGCCCGCCUGCCUCCCUGCUGUGAGCCUGUGAUACUUCUGUUGGCAUCGCAUCCGAAGCAGAGCCAAUAUUCUGAAUAAUGACCUAGAGCUCGUGCCAGCUGGUGAGGUCACUGCGCCAACCCCCGAAAUUGACAAGUCGGGGACUUGAGUUCAGCUUUUAUUGAUCAUCUUCUAUAUGCCAGUCACUAAGCAGGUUCUGAAGAUACAGAGGGGACAAGAAAGACAUGAUCUUUACCUACAAGGACUGACAGCCUGGAAAGACCACCAAAAAAUAGACCAUCUCUGGGAUAUGAAGAGUCAACCGGAAGUAGGUGCCCUGGUCCUGACAGCUCCAACCUGGAUGACAUCCCUUUACUGACUCAGUCCAGGCCUCCUGAGUGUCCUAAUUCUUUACAAUCCAGUUACUCUCAUCGCCUCCUUUCAGAUCUCAAAGGAUUUGAAAGAAUUUUGAUUUCAUCCCAUCUAAAAUGAGUUCCCUCUGGCAAGAAUGAAGAAUGCUGUAGUGGACUUUUACCCCAAGCACAGGGAUGCAAAAUAAAUAAAUCCAAUUCCUGUUUUCAAGAGGUCACAGUCUAGAAGAGAAAAUUACGAUUUACUGUGGUCUGGAUAAAGCUCGAGGUGACCUCGGACAAGUUUCUUGACCUCCUGUGCCUCAGCUUCCUUAUCUGCAAAACAGGAAUAUUAGUAGUGUCUUCCUCCCUGGGGUUGUUCUGCCCUUCAUGUGAGUGCACAGUGUGAAAUGCACACAGUGCCUGGAACACAGUAAGCCCCAUGUAAGGGUUUGUUGAUUUUUUUUAAGUACACGAAAAAACUUCUGAAGAUGAAACAAUGACUCAGUUCUGGGAAGUUCGGACUAGGACAUCUUCCCAGGCACCUGGAGAACUCGCUAAGAUGCAUAUUUCCCAGGCUCCAUCCUAGAGAUCCUGACUUAGUAGAUUUGGGGCAAAGCCUAGGUUUUAAGUCUCUCACUCACUACCCUGAGGGUGAACCACCAGGGGCUGCUUUAGGGUUCAGAUAAAGACUCCUUCAGGGUGGGGUGGGUGACGAAAUGCCUUCCUGGGUGCUCUGAUGCCUUGAAGGACAAAUAGUUAGGUUCAGGGGGCGGUGCUUGGCACAGGGAAUGGCAGGUGCAAAGAGGCCGGAGAGAACUGGUUCGUUUGUGAAACUUCAAGAUAUUUACCAGGAUUGGGACGUCCUGUAUGCGAGGCUGUUAGUUGACUCCGAUUUGAGGACACACCAGGGCUUGCUGUCCUCAGUCAGCACAGGAACAUGCUGAAUCAAGUUCAGUGGAAACCUGCCAAAGAGGAGCUUUUUGAAAUUGUGGGAAGUUUACAUUUUAGGGCUUAAAUUACUGCACCCAGAAGCCCAAAGUAGCUGCUAUCAGAAAAACUGAUUCCAAGAGACUCUGACAAUGAUGCGCAGGCUCUCAUUUUGACUGCAAGGUUCUCUUUCAACAGCCACUCCACCCCAGCAGUGAUUUCAGAGGAGACGGGAAAUGUGAAGAGUCUGCUUAACUCCUCAAACUCAAUGGGCUUAUACAUUUUCAGGAAGGUUGGCUGGGAAGCAGUUUGAAAGAAUAUGAAAUCCAAGGGUCCCUUCCAUCACCCCAGUGUGAUGAAGAAAAAGUGCCCUGGCAUCUGAUGGACAUAGGUCCAACUUUUUUUUUUUUUCUGCUUUAUCUCCUCAAAUCCCCCGGUACACAGUUGUAUAUCUUAGUUGCAGGUCCUUCUAGUUGUGGGAUGUGGGACGCCACCUCAACGUGGCCUGACGAGCCGUGCCAUGUCCGUGUCCAGGAUCCGAACCCUGGGCUGCUGCAGUGGAGCGCGUGAACUUAACCACUCGGCCACGGAGCCGGCCCCUAGGUCCAACUUUUGAUUCCAUCUUGAAGUAGCUGCGUGACCUUGGGCGAACUACACAGUUGCUCGAGACCUCAGCAUUCUCAUCUGUACGAGGAGAAUCAUGUCAAGAAUGAGUGACAUGAUGUGUGUGAAGUUUUGGGCACAAUGAUUGGCUGGUAGUAAAAAGUUCAUGAAGUGACCACAUGCUAUUAAUUUUUAAUCAGAAAAAGUUAACUGGCAUCCAGAAACUAAAGAAAGAGGAAGACACAGCAAUGAGGAAACGUUGCACUUGGGACUUGCGGAGAAAAAAAAAUCGGAAGGGUGUGUGGCUAAGAGAAGAUAUUUGACUAAGGGCUGCAAAUUUAGUUUGGCUUUCUGGACGAUGCAAUGGCUCUGCACCCUAAAAGCAAAGGGGAAAGAAAGCCUUGGUUGGGGUGGGGGAGCUUGGAGUGAGGAGGUUGAGGCACGGAAUGGGGAGAGUUCCUCACCUCGGGAAUGCAUGCACACACACACCCCUCCCCCAGAACUGCCUGCCAGUCCAGCCAUUCGUGCUGGAAGGGGGAAGGAAAGAGAAGAGGAGGCGAGGGUGGGUGGACAGCAGGAAGAGACAACCCUGCAAAAAAGGGAAGAAAGGGGCUUGCGUAUGGUUUGCUCGGCAGAGGGCUAGGAGCAGACACAAACCCAGCCUCCCUUGAACUGAACUCAUGGCUGCCCUUGCUCAGGUCCAUCCUGGUGAGCGGGUCCAACCAGGAUCAUUGGGAGCCUACUGUGCGGACUCCCCAGUUUCGGCACUGAGAGCAGAGUGGCUCUAUGUCACAAAUCCAGCCCUGGAGGUGCUCAUCCAUCCGCACUGGGCUGAAUCGUGUCCCCUCAGAAUUCAUGUCUACCAGGAACCUCAGAAUGGGACCCUGUUUGGAAAUAGCGUGUUUGUAGACGUAAUGAUUAAGAUGAGGUCAUAUUAAUUUAAGGUGGGCCCUAAAUCCAACGACUAGUGUCCUUAUAGGAAGAAGAGAGGAGGCACAGAGACACACACAAAUACAGGGAAGAAGGUGAUGUGAAGACAGGGGAAGAGACUCCUGGGAUAAGCGAGUGUUGAUGGCAGUUUUGAAAGACUGGCAGAACUCUCGAAAAAUCACAUGGGAGGGGCAGGCCCCAUGGCCGAGUGAUUAAGUUUGCGGGUUUCGCUUCGGAAGCCCAGGGCUUCCCCAACCGGAUCCUGGGUGCGGAUGGCACAGCUCAUCAGGCCACGCUGAGGCGGCGUCCCACAUGCCACAACUAGAAGAACUCACAACUAGGGUAUACAACUAUGUACUUGGGGGAUUUGGGGAGAAAAAGCAGGAAAAAAAAAAAAAAAGAUUGGCAACAGUUGUUAGCUCAGGUGCCAAUCUUUAAGAAAAAAAAAAGUCACAUGGGAGAAUGUUGGGUACCUCUGCUAUUCUUUGUGUUCCAAUUCGGACUCUCCCACUCAUUUCCUCUGAGAUCUGACCCUACCUGAGGCUGAGUUUCCUCAUCUGUGAAACGGCCAUCCUACAGCCUGGCGUGCCUGGGACACCCAAAACAAAUCACGACAACAGCCGCUCCCUCUCAGAGGGGUCCUGGUUUGUAUUAAAAAAAUAUAUUGAGGGGCUGGCCCCAUGGCCAAGUGGUUAAGUUCACACGCUCUGCUGCAAGCGGCCCAGUGUUUCGUUGGUUCGAAUCCUGGGCAUGGACAUGGCACUGCUCAUCAAGCCACGCUGAGGCAGCGUCCCACAUGCCACAACUAGAAGGACCUACAACGAAGAAUAUACAACUAUGUACCAGGGGGCUUUGGGGAGAAAAAG
ensembl:lncRNA